CGCGUCCUCGGCGAGUGGGGCGGGGCCGUGACUCACCCGAACCGCGCCCCCCGCCCGCUGUCGAGCGCACGUGAGCGCGCGCCGCGCUGCUUUCUAAAUUUAGCUCGGCGGCUUCGGUGGGGGUCGGGCGAGGAUUUUCUUGGAGGAAAGAAAGAAGAGUGGCAAUGGUGAAGAGAAAGGAAACCAGAUGGGGAAAUUGAGAAAGGGAGAGAUAUUGACUGAAUGAAUGAUGAAUGAAUGAGCAAACAGAGCAAGGCACCAAAAAGGGAAGCUGCUAGGGGGCUGCUCUGUCAAAAUGAGAGAAUAAACCAAGAGGAAGGUGUCAGAUCCUGGAACCAGGGGCUCCAACCAGUGUUGCAGAGGAAUAAAGGAUUCAGAAUCCAGACACAAGCUCUCCACAGGGAAGUACAUGCACUGUGCUUAUUUUAAAGAGAGAGAGUGUCCAUCAUCUCGCACUUAGGAGAUCUACUGUAACCACCUUCUCAGCAACUGUAGAUGUUGGAAGAGUCGUGUCUGCAGUCCUCAAGACAGCGUGAUGCCCAUGAGGCUGCAGUGUCCCCACCUGUCAAGUAAGUUGACAACAAAGGCCCAAGGGACCCCUAUGGUGAAGAGAUGAAGCCCAUGAGCUGCAGCGUCAGGACACCGGGGUGCGAAUCUCCAGCUUCCUGAGUGGUUUCAGCCCACGCUGCUGCCGACCCCAUGCUGGAGAAGUCACGCCUUCCCAGCCGAGUGCGAGCAGGCUCCACGGCCGAGCCUCCUGAGUCCACCGUGAGCCCCUCGGACACCCUCCUGCAGAGGUCAGACACACUCCAGAUGGUGGCCGCCCCGUCAGCCUGGAACCUGUGAUGAGGACGUCAUGCGAGAGUUCCUCACUAACCCAAGCAGUUUUGCAACCUAUGUUUUGCACAAGAUAACGUGAAAGGGAGUUUCAAUCUACUUGUCUACACUGCCCGUGAGGGAACAGAGGAGCCCACCCAGAUGAUGACCUGGCUCACAUUCCACUGACCUGCUUAACAAGCAGAUCUUACAGAAGUUAGGGAGAGUGGAACGCGAACUCAGACAGCCUGGAUUCUCAUCCCAGAUCUUCCCCUUAUGAAAUAAUGCCUUUGGGCAAGUUGUUGAACCAAUUCAAGCUGCCGCCGCCUCAUCAGUAACAGGAAGGAUGAUAAUAACAUCUGUGUGGGCAGGUGACUCUGAGGAACAAAUGAAGUGAUACAGGGUUUUCCAGCAACCCUCUGCGCUCAGUUCCUUGGCAGAAGACUGGGGGAUCACAUGGCUGAGUGAGUGGCAUUUUCUGAAUCAUGGAAUGGAAAGAAACACUAUACAGAAAAGCUGCACACAGGGCUUCUGUGUUGAGCCUGGAUGACGACACAGCGCGGGAAGUGAUUCAUCCCAGCCCGCCUGGCGUGUGUGCUGGUCAGCAGACGGAGUGCAGUUCAGUGCUCGCCUUCUGCGGGGACCAAUGGGGCUUCUCAGCCACAGGGCAGCCCCGGGUGCCUCCCACGCACACCAGCGCCCGGAGCCACCAGAGGCAGCUCGGCAGGUGUCUGGGGAGGUCACAGACAAUAGGACAGAAGGUGAAAAUGAUGGAAUAUCCAGGUUAGGGGAAUCAGAGAAAGGAACUAGGCAGACAGAUGUGGGGAGAAUAUGGUCAGGCUCUCCUGAAAACCAGGAAACAGGCUCCGACUUCUCCAUUCCACAUCCAGAAGCACAGCCUAGCGCCCAGCACGCACAGGAGACGUGUGCUCACCAAUGCCAGAAUGGACUUAAUAAAUAAUUAACACGCUCAUGGAGCCUUUACGGAGUCCAGGCAUGGUCUAAGUCCUUGACGUGUGCUAUCCCACUUCAUCCUCCCAACAGCCCUCUGAAAACAUCAGUGAACCCAAUCUUGCAGAUGAGGAAAUUCUGCACAGAAACAUGAAAUAGCUUGCCCGAGGUCAUGCAACCACUAAGGAGAAGUCUCACCUACAGCAUCCUGUCCCAAGUCUGUGUGCAGAGGUCCUCUUCUUGGCCAGACACUGCUCUUCACAUACAUGAUCGGAUUUAACCUGCACAACAACAAUACAAAGAAGGUAUUGUUCCCAUUUUAAAAAUGGGAAAACUGAGGCUCAGAGAGGUUAAGUUGUUGCCCAAAGUCACACAGCUGGUAAGUGAUGAAGUGGGGCUCACCCAUGUCUGCCUGACUCCAAAGCCCAUGAUCUGUUUCAUGACAUUUCUCUACCUCACCACUGAUGGAGAGGCGUUCUCCCCGCCUCCACUGAUGGAGGUGUUCUCCUCAUCUUUUGGGACAGUGUCCCUCUUUUCUGAGUCCUCGGCCUGCCCACCCAUGGUUUAUAUUGGUUAAAUCUUGACUCAGUAGUAGGAACCUCUUGGUUGUUCCACACAAGGGCCUCCCUUGUUGGAGAGGGAGGAGAGAGGUGAUGCCCCAGAGCUAAAGGGACAGUGUCCCCAGGGUGGACUUGGAGGGUUCUGUGCACGUGGGGAGGGAUGAGGGAAGUGAGGCAGAGCUGGCUUGGCAGCAGGUCCAGUGGGUCUCCCCUGGCUCUGUAUCAAAAUCCCCUUUGAGAAAACAGAGGCUAGGAAUGGUAGAGAUCUGGGUGGCAGUGUGGGGGUGACUCCAAGGGGCAGCUAGGGCUGAGAAGUGCUCAUUGCAUCUACUACUAUUCUUUACCCCGUGGACCACCUCUCUGUGGGGUCAGCCAGGAACUAGCAGGUUCAUAUGGGAUCUGAAUCUCCCAGGCCACAAGCCACAGAGAUAUAUCAUAUAUAGAUGCUAUUGCUUUUGUUGUUACUUAAAGUUGAUGUCUUUAAGCAAGGUGUGUAUUCUCCAGUUUGCCACGGGCCCCACCAUUCCCCAUUGCCUGAUACACUUGCACUCACUUUGGCAAGUUACGGUGUUACUGCAGCUCCUGAUAACACUGGAGUUUGAGGCCCUGAAGAUGUAAAGUAAUCUAGCGUCCGCAUUUCACCUGGAAAAAAAAAUAUACUUGUGCUUCCUAGACCAAAAUGAGGACCCCGUGGCCCCUUGAAGUUACAGUCACUGGGCAAAUCUGUAAAGCUAACUCUGAAGCAAAUAAUAACUUAUAAAAUAACUUAAACCCACAUCGAAGUGAACUGGCUUGAGAUUACCAUUUGCUUUGGGUCAUCUCCAUCACUGAUGCCCACACUCACAGAAAACCAAGCCCUGAGCUCAUUGUCUCUCAUGCUUGGGGUUAGAGUUGGGGCUGUCACGAGGAAAUACACAUCAACUGACACACCCACAGGUUUAAGGACGUGUCAGUUCACAUCCUUGGUUUUCCCAAGUUAGGGAUCAUUGGGCCUGGCUUCAAAGUGGCCAGAGGCCAUUGGUGGGAGGGAGGAGAAUCUUCCUUCUCACUGUAUAUUUCUUGUUCACAUUGUUCUUCCCUGCAAACAUGAGUGACUUCUGUAAUACAAAGAUAUUCCCAAGGUGCCUGUGGGCAGGGCAGGCCUGGGUGCACAUGCAGCCUGGGACUCACUGUCCUCCUGACCCCUGGUUCCCCUUUGUCACAUGGACAGGCUUUCUCUGGGUGGACAAGUGAGAAUGUGGGGUGGGUGAGGACAGGAGCAGACUAUGGCAGGGCCGCAUGUCCACAGCUCCCGUCCUGGGACCUGCAAACCUGUUACUUCACGUUCCAUUGGCAAGUCACUCUAACUGCCAUGGGCCACUCCCGAUGCACCACCGGCUUCCUUCCCCUCCACUGAUGGAGGCGUUCUCCCCCCCUCCACUGAUGGAUGCGUUCUCCCCCGCCUCCACUGAUGGAGGCGUUCUCCACCCCACCACUGAUGGAGGCGUUCUCUACCUCACCACUGAUGGAGAGGCGUUCUCCCCCGCUCCACUGAUGGAGGCG